GACGAACGCUGGCGGCGUGCUUAACACAUGCAAGUCGAACGGAAAGGCCCUGCUUUUGUGGGGUGCUCGAGUGGCGAACGGGUGAGUAACACGUGAGUAACCUGCCCUUGACUUUGGGAUAACUUCAGGAAACUGGGGCUAAUACCGGAUAGGAGCUCCUGCUGCAUGGUGGGGGUUGGAAAGUUUCGGCGGUUGGGGAUGGACUCGCGGCUUAUCAGCUUGUUGGUGGGGUAGUGGCUUACCAAGGCUUUGACGGGUAGCCGGCCUGGGGGGGUGACCGGCCCAAUGGGGACUGGAAUACGGCCCAACCCCCAAGGGGGGGCAGCGGGGGGGAAAAUUGCACAAUGGGGGGAAGCCUGAUGCAGCAACGCCGCGGGGGGGAUGAGGGCCUUCGGGUUGUAAACCGCUUUCCCCUGGGACGAAGCGGGGGUGACGGUAAUGGGGAAAGAAGCACCGGCUAACUACGU
rnacentral:rRNA from 1 species